rnacentral:rRNA from 1 species
CUUUCUCCGCCGGCGACCGGCGCACGGGUGAGUAACACGUAUGCAACCUGCCCCUGUCAGGGGGACAACCCGCCGAAAGGCGGGCUAAACCCGCGUACAUGCCACCGGGGCAUCCCGGAGGCAGGAAAGGCUUCGGCCGGACAGGGAUGGGCAUGCGGCGCAUUAGGCAGUAGGCGGGGUAACGGCCCGCCUAACCGACGAUGCGUAGGGGUUCUGAGAGGAAGGUCCCCCACACUGGUACUGAGACACGGACCAGACUCCUACGGAAGGCAGCAG